rnacentral:rRNA from 1 species
UACGAAGGGGGCUAGCGUUGUUCGGAAUUACUGGGCGUAAAGGGCGCGUAGGCGGCCUCGUCCGUCCGGCGUGAAAUGCCUGGGCUCAACCUAGGAAUUGCGCUCGAUACAGCGAGGCUAGAGUGUGGGAGAGGUUGGUGGAAUUCCCAGUGUAGAGGUGAAAUUCGUAGAUAUCAGGAGGAAUACCGAUGGCGAAGGCAGGUCUCUGGGCUGACACUGACGCUCAUGCACGAAAGCGUGGGGAUCAAACAGG